rnacentral:tRNA from 1 species
UAUAGAAUAGUGUAAAUGCACAUAGGCCUUUGAUCCCUAUAGUUAAGACUAAUCCUUUUUCUAUAA